UCAUACUUUAACAGUAAUAUAUGAGAUAAACAGAUAGUAAAUUUAUUAUAAUAGUAACAAUAAUAAUAAUGAUAAUAUUAUUAAAAGCAGACAAUUCUGAUAUGUGUAUUAUGCACACAUACAUAUUUUUUAAUGCUGUUUUAAAGUACAUCUAUUUAAAGAAAUAAAAACAGCCAAUGGGGUGAUAACCUGAAAAAUUUCCAUCCUAAAUCCAGACUAAAAGCAGAAGAAAAAAACCUUCCUGAACUGAAAUAUGACUAUUUCAAAGACUCAAAUGUUAAAUGGAAAGUUUUGAAACAUUGAUUUCUUGUAACAUUAAUUUUCUAUAAGUGUUACUCUUUGCAAUGUCUAGAUAUGUGAAGAGUUACUGGUCCAGUCAUAGGGCAGAAAGUCAAUAUGGAUAAUGGUGGCGGGGUUUGAACUCAGAACCAUUGAGAUGACACUGCAGAGAGCAAAGCACAUGACCUGGAAAUCCAUUUUAUAUGACUACAUGUGUCUAGCAUUAGCCU
rnacentral:sRNA from 1 species